ACCUCCGCAUCCUGGCCCGCCGUACAGGCAUUCACCAUGAUGCGCAAGCCGGUCCCACGAGGACAGUCUCCAGAUCCCCACCAGACAUUAAGCCCUGAUGCUUCCCUAGGGAGUGCCCUUUACCAUAAUGCCUCAACGCCUCAAUUUUAACCCCAAUAUACCUCACCUGCCCGAAUUCCAUGCCAGCCAAAGCAGAAACACCCUAACCCUCCCACCCUUUCCUGAUUAGUAAGAAGAUCUCACGUGGCUCCUUCUCAAGCUUCCAGAACGUUCACGAGUCCUCUGGAAGAGUGGGGUGGCUGCAAACACGCCCCCGCAAAUGCAGGAACGCCAUUGGCAAAUGGCAGACGCUCCCUUGCAACGGUUGCCAAGGUCAGGUUGUAACUAAUCCUCCAAAGCUCUUCAACGCUGACUCAAGACGCUGAUGUUCUGAAGGAAAAAGUAUAAAAGGACUCUGGAGAGAGAUCUUUUCCAAAACCAUCUCUUGGCAUCCUGGGACUUCUGCUUUUCAUUUUCCUCUGCCAUGGGCUACCUUCCACCAUUUCCAGCAUGUACAGGGCCAGCAUACAUCCUAUCUGGACCAUCCAUCCAUUUAGCCCUUUCUCCUGUUUCAUCGGUCCAAGGCAAAUGACCCUGAGAAUAUUAGUCAGAGUGCCCUUCCAUUUUUUCAGAAUUCCAGGUGACAUCAUCCCAGGCAUAGUACCCUGGCCAUAUCUUGUCUAGCCCUGAAGCAUCCAUCCUCCUCCAUCCUGUGUGGGUUCAUCUCCCUACAACCUGGAACUUCAUCUUUCCUCUUACUCUCCAUCCUAAACCUCCAAGGCAUGAUCGAUCAAGAAUGGAAAAACCAUGCUACAGAUUAAUGACUAAGAGCAUGGGCAUCAAGUAUCAAAGCUGGGAAGUGUCCACAAUUCUGAACAAAGUCUCAGAGUUCCACGUGCCCUCAUCAUUGCUGAUAUUUGGUGCCACUGUUCAUGUGUGCUUUGUGUGUCAUUUUCAAACCAUUUCUUUGACUGCCUUUCAUGAUCAUUCUCUUCAUCAGGGACUUGUGAGAUGUGUGUAUUUUGUUUCUUUAAAAAAAUGUCGUUCAGAUUAGCUAGACACCAAUGCUAAUGGUAUAUUCAGACAGCUUAUUGACACUCAUCACAUUUGGUACAAUGCACUCAUCAAAACUGCAGACAUUCACAUCUUGUGUGGAUGUGGUUGGCCAUCUUGUUCAAAUUCAGCCCUACAAUUUGGUAUAGUGAGGCAAUCACCUGAGUAGCUGGAGUGUGUGUAUGGCAGGGGAGGAGCCCCUCCAGACAUUUAAAUCCUCCUGAUCCCUCCCUCGUCAUUCUCUCGCCUGGAGAUGAGAGCGGUAUGUGCCAAACUGCCAGCCAAGAACUCCUAAAGCAAACCUUUUGGGCUCUAGUCAGGAGCAGUGGAGGACAUGGUCCCAUUGCUAAUAUGGAAGCACCAUUCAACUGCCUGUCCAGCCGGCUUCUGUGCAUACAAUGGCAAGGAGGAGGGCAUCAUGCCCUUUGCUUCAGGAAGCAAAAAAUCUAUUAAUAUAUAUAAGACGUCCUCCCAAAGACCACCACAAAACUUUGCUUCCUAUGAAGAGAACUGCUGUGACAGAAGAGGUUUUAGGACUGACCUCCAUAAAUGAGAUUUAAACUACACACACAUACACACACACACACACACACACACACACGUUCCCCAAUUCCAUUCCAUUCCCCUGUAUCUUCGAAUAGUCUUUUGCUGACCCUUUGGUCUGCUUUUCAAUUCUUUUCUUGAAAGUUCUUGAAGGAAGGCUGUUCCAUUCUCUGCAUGACCUGUCGCUGGAACUGCAAAUGUAUUUCCUCUUGCCUCCUUUUCAAUAAAAUCUAUUCUAGAGCACA